rnacentral:rRNA from 1 species
UACGUAGGUGGCAAGCGUUGUCCGGAAUUAUUGGGCGUAAAGCGCGCGCAGGCGGUCCUUUAAGUCUGAUGUGAAAGCCCACGGCUCAACCGUGGAGGGUCAUUGGAAACUGGGGGACUUGAGUGCAGGAGAGAAGAGUGGAAUUCCACGUGUAGCGGUGAAAUGCGUAGAGAUGUGGAGGAACACCAGUGGCGAAGGCGGCUUUCUGGUCUGUAACUGACGCUGAGGCGCGAAAGCGUGGGGAGCAAACAGG